rnacentral:misc_RNA from 1 species
UCCUGGUUUCCCAGGCAGUCCCAUCAGAGUGCUCCACUAGGGUAGCAACUGAUAGCAGGGGUUGCGCUCGUUAGAGGACUUAACCCAACAUCUCACGACACGAGCUGACGACAGCCAUGCAGCACCUGUGUAUCUGCUUAGAUCGAAACCUAAGAGAUUGUGUUUCUACAACUGUCAAAUACAUGUCAAGUCCAGGUAAGGUUCCUCGCGUAGUGACGAAUUAAACCACAUGUUCCACCGCUUGUGCGGACCCCCGUCAAUUUCUUUGAGUUUUAAUCUUGCGACCGUACUCCCCAGGCGAAUCACUUAACGCGUUAGCUUCGAUACUAAUCCGGCUAAGCCAGACUAACAUCUAGUGAUUAUCGUUUACAGCGUGGACUAC